GAUGAACGCUGGCGGCGUGCCUAAUACAUGCAAGUCGAGCGAACAGACGAUGAGCUUGCUCCUCUGCCGUUAGCGGCGGACGGGUGAGUAACACGUGGAUAACCUACCUAUAAGACUGGGAUAACUUCGUGAAACCGGUGACACUACCGGCUAAUAUAUUCAACCGCUUGGUUCAAUAGUUCAAGACAGUUUUGCUGUCUCUUAUAGAUGGUUCCGCGUCGCAUUAGCUAGUUGGUAAGGUAAAGGCUUACCAAGGCAACGAUGCGUAGCCGACCUGAGAGGGUGAUCAGCCACACUGGAACUGAGACACGGUCCAGACUCCUACGGGAGGCAGCAGUAGGGAAUCUUCCGCAAUGGGCGAAAGCCUGACGCAGCAACGCCGCGUGAGUGAUGAAGGUCUUCGGGUCGUAAAACUCUGUUAUUGGGGAAGAAAAAAUGUGUAAGUAAAUAUGCACGUCUUGACGGUACCUAAUGAGUAAGCCCCGGCUAACUACGUG
rnacentral:rRNA from 1 species